CACAUACCAUGUAUACCAUACGUAUGCUCCAUACUCUCCUUCAUGGUACAUGAGAAGAAAAAGGAAGUAGAAACAAGAAGAUGAAAUAGGAGGUACGUACAUCAUAAAUCGACCGUUGGACGAAAUUCGGACGGAUCCCGAAGAAUUGACCACCCUCAAAAUAUAUACAUGUAAAGUACUAGUGUACGUACUGCCGAGUGGUUUUACACCACCUUCCACUCUGGUAUUAAGAGUACGACGAUUGUCUCUCCGAUAUCGACAUCAAGGACUAAAGACCGGAAGCGAACAAUCGCACAAUUUCCCCAUUCCCCUAUACACGGCAGUCCUGAAAAGCAGUAUUAUUUAUUUCUAUGUUUUCUACUCGAGUGACAGCAGAUGGUGGGUUCUGGGGACAUUAUCCCAGUUACGUGGUGUGUGUUGUUAAAUCGUGAGUGAGAUACCGAAUCUUUGCUGUUUGCUACAGGCCGUAGACCUAGUACGUAGCUCGUUGCUACUACUCAUAAUUACUGUCCGCUGCUUCAUGUAUGCUGCAGUGCUGCGCGCCCUACUGCACGAAGAAGCGAUAAUGACCCAGCCUGCAUCUUUUUUGCCUCACUAAUAUUGGAUCUUCUGCAUGGUUUGUGGCGACUGAGGCCUUUUACACUAUCUCUGAGAUGAUUAUAUAGCCUAUGGUCUGUGGAAUUCACAUAAAUGGACAAUAAAUAAAUGGAUGCAGCUGGAUGCUAC
rnacentral:sRNA from 1 species